GGGUGGUAAAUUGCAGUCAUCGCCGAGCCAGAGAACACUCUUGUAGUUCAGUGUGUUGCAGCCGUGUUCAGGUCGCAUUGACGGUACUAUUCUCUUUUGGAUGAUACAAUUAACAGUCACCGUCGCAUUGAGUCGCUUUUGGGAGCUCUGACGACCACACGCUUUUGGCGAAAAGGAAGGCAAAGAGAGCUCGUUAUGUUCAACCCCCACUCCCACCAACAACAACAACAGCAGCAGCAGUUCCACCAGCACCUGCGGCAGCUCCAACAACUUUUCCAUCAGCAGCCACCCCCGCCGCCUCCACCGCCCCCGCCGCCUCCACCGCCACAGCCCACUCCGGCUCACCAUGUCGGCCAUCACCAUCACCAGGCAUCGCGAGCCAUUCCUGUGCCUCCACAUACAACGCCUCCUCCACCCAGAAUGGUCAACCUGUGCCAGGCGACCCAGACCACGAUUAUCAGCCCCAAUCCCAUGCUACAUGGAGCCUUAAUGAUGCAGCAAAUGCAAGGUAACAUGCGGGGCUUUGGGAUGGCCGGACAGCAGUUCCGUCAUUUCUUCACAGCGGCGAACAGGUCUCUACUGGGGCCGGUUCCAAUUGGUAUGGCAAUGAAGUCCCACCACAUGGGCUUCCCCGCUGCAGCUCGGGCCUUCCACCCUCACCCUCGCUUAUACAAUAAUGCCACCAUUACCGCAAGUGCAGCCACUGCGACGAGCGCGGCCACCGCCGCCUCCUCUGUUACCACCACCACAACAGUAAUAACACUGGACAAGAAGAAUGACAGCCAGCAGACAGCAGACGGGUGUACCGCUGACAUUGCAGCAGUAAGCAAGGCCAGGGAUACUGAAACAGAUGGCGUUGUGGAAUGGGUGGAUGGAUCUGCUCAGUCCUCUGAGGAACAGGUUGAAGAACCGACGGUGAAGAGGCAGAAGAUGGAAGGAUCUGAGGAGCCUAAAGAGGAUCCUGCUCUCCCUACUGCCGAUUCAGAUGGCGACACAGAGUGCAACACAGAAGACAGCCAGAUGGGUGACUGCCUCCUCCUACAAGAAGACGACUCUACUCUGGGUCCAGGAGUUGAGGAGAGCCAUGCUGCUGUGUUGGAGGAUGAUGAGCUACCAAACAAACGGGUGGAGGGCAAUGCUGCAGAAGGGGCCAACAAGUUCUACUGCUACCUCUGCACCAUCACUUGCCACAGUCAGGAAAACUUCCGCAGUCAUAUGAACAGUGUUUCCCACCAGCAGAGGAUGAUGGAGAUUCAGCACAUGAGCAACGCGUGCCUGGUCACAUUGCUGCCACGGCUGCAUGAGACUCUGCAGGGGGCCAGUAAAGAUGGAGACAAAAAAGCUGACACGCAGCGUUGGUGCGCAACAUGUUGCGCUCAUUACUCCACCAGCAUUGCGGACCAUCGACACACAGAGGAGCACAAACGUGCGUGCAGAGCUGCUGUGUCGUCCUGCGGCCUCUGCAAGAAGCACUUCAGGAGCUCCAAGCUGUUUGUGGCACACUUGCAGUCCCAGGAGCACCGGCAAAGAUUAAUUAAACUUCAGGAAAAGGAGAGCUCUGACACUUUAUCCAAGCUGCCGGACAUAGAUGGCUUUGAGAUUGAGGAAGAGAAGGUGCAGGAGGAUGACAGGCUCGACUCGGAUGAAGACUUUCUUGAGAACCUGGAUGGAUGGAGCUCAUGUAGAGAGGUGACUCUGAAGGACAUGACGAGUGACGAGCAGUAUGACCCCGACACCAUCUACGGGUCCAGCUUCUUUGUGCCAGUGGCUGGUUUCAUCUGCCGACUCUGCAACAAGUUCUACCAUUUUGACUCGUCGGCUUUACACACACACUGCAACUCCGUCAAGCACUUUGACAACCUCAAGAGACACAAAGAAUCACUUGGCGGAAAGUGCGCCAACGCUGACGACGACAACCGCAGGUCUUUAACAGGAACGCCCACAGAUUCUCUGGAAGACAUUUGCCCCUCCAGUACCGCAGGGUCAGUUUCAAGACUCAGCAGUACGUUCGGGACAGAAAACCAGCUCCAGGACAAAGUGGAGGAGCCUCGCACUUGUCAAGCGUCGAAAGCUCCAUCAGAGCUUCCCGCUGACACCUCAGAUUUGCCAGCCUCCACUGACGACAACAACAAAGAAAAAGAAGAAGACGAAAAUGCUCCACUGAAGCCAAGCACCAGACGCCGGUCUGGGAGGGCCACUAACAGACAUUGAAGGAUGGAUGAGAGACUUUUUUUUUUUCUUUAAUUCUCCAAUAGGUUCCAAUUUCGAUGGCGGAACACAUGACCUGAAAGAGUGCCUCGCCUGGUGGCUGCAAGGUUGCCGAGUGUCACCCAGGGAAGUGGAAAAUUUUCCUCCAGGGGGAAGCGUGGCCUUCAACAGUGCAUCCUGACGCAGACACAAUUUGGUAACAUCCUUAAAAUGAAUGCAACUUUGAGAAGAAAAAAAAAGUGUCACCAAAAUGCAUUUAUUCCACUUUGGAGGUUCCAGUAUAUUUUAAAGCGGAAAUACUUCGUCUCAGAGAAGUCAAAGAGAGAUUGAGAGCAUUCUUUGAAGUGUGGGUGACAACACAAAUGUAAGACUGUGAAGCCAGCCUCUCACGAAAAAAGCAAAAGCUGUAUUUGCCAUAAAACAGACAAGACAUCUUUGUCAUUUGAAACUUGUCCGUCAAGGCAGGUGUUUUCAGUCAUGUUGGACCAUCGGUGUUUGUUCAUGGCAUUUUGGUGUCGCGUUCUUGUGGACAUUUUGAGUGAUGUUGGUAAUUGGUGGACCAAAAAAAAAAAAGGCUUCACACGGAUUCUUCAAGCAAACACAUUGUGUUUAUUCUGGCUUCAUUUUUUUGUAGCACUCUGCUCUGAAGUUUUUAACGCAUCACUUCCUCUUCCAGAAACAUUUCAUCCUCAUUUGUGGUUAUUUGGAGCCACUAAGUCUUGCUCACGUGACGCAAAACUUGACAUGACC